rnacentral:rRNA from 1 species
UGCCAGCCGCCGCGGUAAUACGGAGGGCGCAAGCGUUACUCGGAAUCACUGGGCGUAAAGAGCGUGUAGGCGGAUAAAUAAGUUUGAAGUGAAAUCCUGUGGCUCAACCAUGGAACUGCUUUGAAAACUGUUUAUCUAGAAUAUGGGAGAGGUAGAUGGAAUUUCUGGUGUAGGGGUAAAAUCCGUAGAUAUUCGGAGGAACACCAGUGGCGAAGGCGGCUUUCUGGACCAAUACUGACGCUGAGAUGCGAAAGCGUGGGGAGCGAACAGGAUUAGAUA